AUACGUAGGGAGCGAGCGUUGUCCGGAAUUACUGGGCGUAAAGGGCGCGUAGGCGGCGCUUCAAGUCGUCUGUCAAAUGGGAGGGCUUAACCCUUUUUCGCAGACGAAACUGGAGAGCUUGAGAAGCAGAGAGGCAAACAGAAUUCCUGGUGUAGCGGUGAAAUGCGUAGAUAUCAGGAAGAAUACCAGUGGCGAAGGUGGUUUGCUGGCUGCAUACUGACGCUGAAGCGCGAAAGCCAGGGGAGCGAACGGGAUUAGAUACCCCGGUAGUCCUGGCAGUAAACGAUGUAUGCUGGGUGUGAGACUAGCGAUAGUUUCGUGCCGAAGUUAACGCGAUAAGCAUACCGCCUGGGGAGUACGGUCGCAAGAUUGAAACUCAAAUGAAUUGGCGGGG
rnacentral:rRNA from 1 species